rnacentral:rRNA from 1 species
UACGUAGGUGGCAAGCGUUGUCCGGAAUUAUUGGGCGUAAAGCGCGCGCAGGCGGUCCUUUAAGUCUGAUGUGAAAGCCCACGGCUCAACCGUGGAGGGUCAUUGGAAACUGGGGGGACUUGAGUGCAGGAGAGAAGAGUGGAAUUCCACGUGUAGCGGUGAAAUGCGUAGAGAUCCGGAGGAACACCAGUGGCGAAGGCGACACGCUGGGCCGUACCUGACACUGAUGCGCGACAGCAUGGGGAGCAAACAGG